AGAAGCCCUCACUGCUCCAAUAUGAGAUGGUAAUUUAAAUGGUCCAUCCCUGCAGAUGCAAAUCAUCAUAGAAAUGCGAAUCAAGAGAGAACCAAAAUUGUGGCAUGAGUAGAGCAGCAGAAAUCUCCUCCCAAAACCAUAUAUAUUUUUGAAAAUACAACAAUACAACUAAUCCUAAAAGAGAGACCAGAAGACACAGGAUAACAGCCAGACUACAUCCAUACCUGUGAGAACCCAGUGCCUCGUGAAAAGGUUCCUGUGAUGCACACACCUGCUCCCUGAAGAUUCUAACUCACUGACAAGUUACAGUAACCACUGUCUAAGUAAAAACUUAGAGGUUUUAUACCAAAGAUGCAGCCUUGAAUAACCAAAGUGAAUCCAGUGUUCCCAAAAGUCAAAUUCCAAGGAGGCCUAAGGAAAUGAAAGGAAUAGUUAGGGUCUCGGCAGAAACCGGUUCAUGUGCAACUCCAGAUCUUGAAGCAGCUCUAGCAGAAGUCUGUGGAGCUCCGUAGCUGCCCCUGUUACCUGUAAGGGUCCCUAGGCCCGGUGGGCAGCCCAAACUAGUGAAGAGGUGCAAAAUGAGGUGUCUGUGGAAUGGCAGACAGUGCCCAGCUGGUGCUGCUUCUGCAUCAGUCACCUGGAGGGGCCUAGUGACAGGACCACGUGCAAGUGCAAAGGAGUGAACACCAGCUUUAAUGAAGAGGAACGGAAGGGGAAGGUGGAAGAGGAAGCGCGUGUGCAUAGGCAGAAGCAAGAUGAAUGCUUCUCUACCGCUGACUGACCCCACCAUGGGCGGUUCUCAAACGCAGUAAUUCACGGGCCUGCUGUGAUGGUGCCUUAUGAAACUGAGCAAUUAGCUGAGCUUGUUUGGCAACUGUGGAUAGCCUAGAAAACACCCCCUUGUACUUGUUCUCCAUCCUUCCUUGCUUUACAUCCUUCGAUCUCUCACUCUUGCUUCCUUGGGAUUGUGCUGCUGUUAGCACAUGUACUUUUGCCUCUAUUUUGUGUGGGACUCAGGCCAAGAUAGGGCCCCUGGGACUUUUCUUUUUUACUUGUGCAAACUCACAGUUCUGCUCUUUAAGUAAGAAGUAAAGGUUUAUCUGUGUUGCAACUGAUAUUAAUUUCAUAUAUAGUAAAAUGUAUGAAUGUCGAUUAUAGCAUUCUGGCAGACUCGAAUGUAAAGAAUUCAAGUAUAAAAUGUGUCAUUUAUUAUUAGGAAACACAAAUAAUAAGAAUAUUAUUUGAACUAUGAUUCUUUUGAACUGAAAGUACCAAAUAAUGUGUAUACCUUGGGCAGUGCAACCUGAAAGGUAAUAAAAUAUGCAGUUAUGGAAGCAUUGAUCAGUUUCAAAGGGUUUCUCUUAUGUGUUUUUCUUAUGUUUUGAUAUU